rnacentral:rRNA from 1 species
UUAAAACAAGCUUUUAAGAGCAGAUGGCGGAUGCCUUGCCAAAGAGAGGCGAUGAAGGACGUACUAGACUGCGAUAAGCUAUGCGGAGCUGUCAAGGAGCUUUGAUGCGUAGAUGUCCGAAUGGGGCAACCCAACUAAUAGAGAUAUUGGUUACUCUAAUUUAGAGAGCGAACCUAGUGAAGUGAAACAUCUCAGUAACUAGAGGAAAAGAAAUCAACGAGAUUCCCUAAGUAGUGGCGAGCGAACGGGGAAAAGGGCAAACCGAGUGCUUGCAUUCGGGGUUGAGGACUGCAACAUCCAAGAGAACGCUUUAGCAGAGUUACCUGGAAAGGUAAGCCAUAGAAAGUGAUAGCCUUGUAUGCGACAAGGCGUUCUUAGGUAGCAGGAUCCAGAGUAGGCCAGGACACGAGAAAUCCAGGUUGAAGCCGGGGAGACCACUCUCCAACCCUAAAUACUACUCUUUGAGCGAUAGCGAACAAGUACCGUGAGGGAAAGGUGAAAAGAACCGCAGUGAGCGGAGUGAAAUAGAACCUGAAACCAUCUGCUUACAAUCAUUCAGAGCCCUAUGAUUUAUCAGGGUGAUGGACUGCCUUUUGCAUAAUGAUCCUGCGAGUUGUGGUAUCUGGCAAGGUUAAGCGAACGCGAAGCCGUAGCGAAAGCGAGUCUUAAUAGGGCGAUUAAGUCAGAUGCUGCAGACCCGAAGCUAAGUGAUCUAUCCAUGGCCAAGUUGAAACGCGUGUAAUAGCGCGUGGAGGACUGAACUCGUACCCAUUGAAACGGGUUGGGAUGAGCUGUGGAUAGGGGUGAAAGGCCAAACAAACUUAGUGAUAGCUGGUUCUCUUCGAAAUAUAUUUAGGUAUAGCCUCAAGUGAUAAUAAAAGGGGGUAGAGCUCUGAUUGGGCUAGGGCUGCUCGCCGCGGUACCAAACCCUAUCAAACUUCAAAUACCUUUUAUCGUAUCUUGGGAGUCAGGCGGUGGGUGAUAAAAUCAAUCGUCAAAAGGGGAACAACCCAGACUACCAAAUAAGGUCCCUAAGUUCUAUUCUGAGUGGAAAAAGAUGUGUGGCUACUCAAACAACCAGGAGGUUGGCUUAGAAGCAGCCAUCCUUUAAAGAAAGCGUAACAGCUCACUGGUCUAGUGGUCAUGCGCUGAAAAUAUAACGGGGCUAAGAUAGACACCGAAUUUGUAGAUUGUGUUAAACACAGUGGUAGAAGAGCGUUCAUACCAGUGUUGAAGGUAUACCGGUAAGGAGUGCUGGAGCGGUAUGAAGUGAGCAUGCAGGAAUGAGUAACGAUAAGAUAUAUGAGAAUUGUAUCCGCCGUAAAUCUAAGGUUUCCUACGCGAUGGUCGUCAUCGUAGGGUUAGUCGGGUCCUAAGCCGAGUCCGAAAGGGGUAGGUGAUGGCAAAUUGGUUAAUAUUCCAAUACCGACUCAUGGAGCGUGAUGGGGGGACGCAUAGGGUUAAGCGAGCUAGCUGAUGGAAGCGCUAGUCUAAGGGCGUAGAUUGGAGGGAAGGCAAACCCACCUCUGUAUUUGAAACCCAAACAGGCUCUUUGAGUCCUUUCAGGACAAAGGGAGAAUCGCUGAUACCGUCGUGCCAAGAAAAGCCUCUAAGCAUAUCCAUAGUCGUCCGUACCGUAAACCGACACAGGUAGAUGAGAUGAGUAUUCUAAGGCGCGUGAAAGAACUCUGGUUAAGGAACUCUGCAAACUAGCACCGUAAGUUCGCGAUAAGGUGUGCCGUAGCAAUGCGGUCUCAGCAAAGAGUCCCUCCCGACUGUUUACCAAAAACACAGCACUUUGCCAACUCGUAAGAGGAAGUAUAAGGUGUGACGCCUGCCCGGUGCUCGAAGGUUAAGAGGAUGCGUCAGUCGCAAGAUGAAGCGUUGAAUUGAAGCCCGAGUAAACGGCGG